rnacentral:rRNA from 1 species
AUAUUGCGCAAUGGGGGCAACCCUGACGCAGCAACGCCGCGUGAUUGAUGAAGGUCUUCGGAUUGUAAAAAUCUUUAAUCAGGGACGAAACAAAUGACGGUACCUGAAGAAUAAGCUCCGGCUAACUACGUGCCAGCAGCCGCGGUAAUACGUAGGGAGCAAGCGUUAUCCGGAUUUACUGGGUGUAAAGGGCGUGUAGGCGGGCUUGUAAGUUGGAAGUGAAAUCUCGGGGCUUAACCCCGAAACUGCUUUCAAAACUGCGAGUCUUGAGUGAUGGAGAGGCAGGCGGAAUUCCCAGUGUAGCGGUGAAAUGCGUAGAUAUUGGGAGGAACACCAGUGGCGAAGGCGGCCUGCUGGACAUUAACUGACGCUGAGGCGCGAAAGCGUGGGGAGCAAACAG